CACAUGACAAAUGGCAUCAAGUUGCUGAAUUUAGGACAUCACCAACCCUAUACGCCGUACCGCCCCUAAAUGUCCGGACACCACAGACGAGGCCAAAUUCCCAGAAACCGGCACCAAACCAAGGGGAGGUUGCGAGUCGAUAGAUAUCCGUCACGUAGGACUCUGACACCCCCGACCCACUCAAAACCUCACUCGGAGCUGCGUUUUCCUUACUCCCCCUUCCCCACACUCUGUAUCCGCUCCCUCCCUGAGCGGCGGCUACCAACGUCGCCGCUGUAUCACCCACGCGCCUACCUGCCUUGAAGUGCGGCACCCUGACCGUUCCACCCUCGUCCGUUCGCUGCCCAGCAAACACGAUGGAUUUGGAGUACUUGUACUACAACUUCAUGGAUUCAUCCUCAUUGGAUGAUGACGAAUGGCGAUGAUGAGGGCGGUCCUUCCAGAUGCAGAGCAUACAGAGGAGCAUGUGCCGGGGAGCAUGUUCUCGGUUUCAAGGGAUCAGUCAAGGGAUGAGUGUUGAAUCGGAAUAGGGCAUGGGGGCAUUUGAUACUGAUGGACAAGUACUUUGUCCCAAAUGCCCUAUUCGUAGACCAUUUUCGCUGACGCUUUCAGAUGCAAAAAGAUGUUUUUGAUGGUCUCUAGAAUGGUGUCUGAGCCUAUGAUGACUACUUCAUCUUGAAGGAGGCCGUUAUUUUCUGGUUAUCAGAAGUGCACGGCUGCGUUGAGGAUGUUCUAUGGCACGGCCGCAGAUACAUGGGACGAGUAGCUCCGGGUCAGGUUUGCUACUGUAGCGGUCAAGAUGUUUGGACCACAGAGAGAACCAACUGUCCCAGACACCGAAAGGCUCAUGGCACUCUCGGAAGCAAGAGGGUGGCCAGGUAUGCUCGGAUCCAUUGAUUGCAUGCACUGAAAAUGGAAAAACUGCCUAUAUGUUAAACAAGGGCAUGUUAAGAAGCCUACCAUCAUUCUUAAAGCAGAUGCAUCACAAGACCUCUGAAUUUGGCAGUUUUUUUGGCAUGCACGGGUCUCACAAUGACAUCAAUGUGUUGCAGCGGUCUCCUUUGUUUGCUAGGUUGACUGUGUGACAAGCUCCUCCGUGCAACUAUACCAUCAAUGGUCAUGACUACAACAUGGGCUACUAUUUGAUUGAUUGUGUCUAUCAUCGGUGGGUGACCUUUGUCAAAGACCAUGUCCGAGCCAAAUACUGAAAAAAGAUCUUGCUUUGUCCGAAGACACUACAAAGGAUGAAGGCAUUUGGAGUGCUCCAAGCUCGUUUUGCAGUUGUUCAUGUACCUGCUAAACAAUGAGAUCCAGAGACGUUGUGGGAGGUGUUGACUUGUUGUGUGAUCAUGUACCACAUGAUUGUGGAGGAUGAGGGUGAAGAAGUUGACGAAGGUCUAGAAGAGUGUUCCUAUCCAACUUCCAGAGCAGAAUUUGGCGACGUUUGGAGAUUUUAUCCAAAUGCAUCAACAUAUUCACCAUCAAGCCAUCAAGCAACUCAUGAGCAGCUUCGGAAUGAUCUGAUUGAGCAUCUCUUGCGCUUAAAGGGGAGAACUAAACUAGAGCAUAUGCGUGAAUAAGUUGGAUUGAAGAUUGAAUUAUUUUAUUUGAAAACUUAAUGUUUGGAAUCAUAGGGGAAAAAACAAGGACGGACAAGGGCGGAGGUUUGCUGCACAGGGUUGGGUGGCCGGCUCCCAUAUUCGGGUCCGCGGACGCAUCCAUGGAAGUUUGGUGUGUCCAGUUUGGUGGGUCCACGGACAUUUAUUGUGUCCGAUUUGGGGUACACCGUUGGAGACUCCCUUAGUGGGUUUUACACCGAUUACACGCUACUAUAAUUUGUUUCACUCCACAAAAUUGCUUGAUGUAACCACAUUAAGCUUAAUAAUGAAGAGAAGACUAUCAAAAUACUUACCCCAGUGAGUGCUUCAUCCAACGCUCAUCGUCUCUUGUCUGUAAGCAACAAGGAGAAACAAUUGCCGUUACUGUGCAAGGAAGAAGAGACAGUAAAACAAACAAAGCCAAGUAGCAAACCGUGAAAUCUUCACGAGCAUGAGCUCCUCUGCUUUCCUUCCGAGCCUCUGCUGAAUACAUAGUUAUGCAUGCAUUUAUCAACA